rnacentral:rRNA from 1 species
CAUUCGAGUGGCGGACGGGUGAGUAACGCGUGGGUAACCUGCCUUACACAGGGGGAUAACACCUGGAAACAGGUGCUAAUACCGCAUAAGCGCACAGGGCCGCACGGCCCGGUGUGAAAAACUCCGGUGGUGUAAGAUGGACCCGCGUCUGAUUAGCUUGUUGGCGGGGUAGGGGCCCACCAAGGCGACGAUCAGUAGCCGGCCUGAGAGGGUGGACGGCCACAUUGGGACUGAGACACGGCCCAAACUCCUACGGGAGGCAGCAG